CUACGGGGCGCUCCAGUAGGGAAUAUUGCACAAUGGGCGCAAGCCUGAUGCAGCCAUGCCGCGUGUAUGAAGAAGGCCUUCGGGUUGUAAAGUACUUUCAGCGGGGAGGAAGGGAGUAAAGUUAAUACCUUUGCUCAUUGACGUUACCCGCAGAAGAAGCACCGGCGAACUCCGUGCCAGCAGCCGCGGUAAUACGGAGGGUGCAAGCGUUAAUCGGAAUUACUGGGCGUAAAGCGCACGCAGGCGGUUUGUUAAGUCAGAUGUGAAAUCCCCGGGCUCAACCUGGGAACUGCAUCUGAUACUGGCAAGCUUGAGUCUCGUAGAGGGGGGUAGAAUUCCAGGUGUAGCGGUGAAAUGCGUAGAGAUCUGGAGGAAUACCGGUGGCGAAGGCGGCCCCCUGGACGAAGACUGACGCUCAGGUGCGAAAGCGUGGGGAGCAAACAGGAUUAGAUACCCGCGUAGUC
rnacentral:rRNA from 1 species